UGGGGUGUAGGUCAGUGGCAGAGCACUUGUCUACUAUAUACAAAGCCCUAGGUUCAAUUCCCAGUGUAACAA
rnacentral:tRNA from 1 species